rnacentral:lncRNA from 1 species
AUGGAAAAGAAAUGCAAAAAAGCAAAAUGGCUGUCUGGGGAGGCCUUACAAAUAGCUGUGACAAGAAGAGAAGCGAAAAGCAAAGGAGAAAAGGAAAGAUAUAACUAUCUGAAUGCAGAGUUCCAAAGAAUAGCAAGAAGAGAUAAGACAACCUUCUUCAGCGAUCAAUGCAAAGAAAUAGAGGAAAACAACAGAAUGGGAAAGACUAGAGAUCUCUUCAAGAAAACUAGAGAUACCAAGGGAACAUUUCAUGCAAAGAUGGGCUCGAUAAAGGACAGAAAUGGUCUGGACCUAACAGAAGCAGAAGAUAUUAAGAAAAGGUGGCAAGAAUACAGGGAAGAACUGUAUAAAAAAGGUCUUCACGACCCAGAUAAUCAUGAUGAUGUGAUCACUCACCCAGAGCCAGACAUCCUGGAAUGUGAAGUCAAGUGGGCCUUAGAAAGCAUCACUAUGAACAAAGCUAGUGGAAGUGAUGGAAUUCCAGUGGAGCUGUUUCAAAUCCUGAAAGAUGAUGCUGUAAAAGUACUGCACUCAAUAUGCCAGCAAAUUUGGAAUACUCAGCAGUGGCCACAGGACUGGAAAAAGUCAGUUUUCAUUCCAAUUCCAAAGAAAGGCAAUGCCGAAGAAUGCUCAAACUACCCCACAAUUGCACUCAUCUCACAGGCUCAUAAAGUAAUGCUCAAAAUUCUCCAAGCCAGGCUUCAGCUAUACGUGAACCGUGAACUCCCUGAUGUUCAAGCUGGUUUUAGAAAAGGCAGAGUAACCAGAGAUCAAAUUGCCAACAUCUGCAGGAUCAUCGAAAAAGCAAGAGAGUUCCAGAAAAACAUCUAUUUCUGCUUUAUUGACUAUGCCAAAGCCUUUGACUGUGUGGAUCACAAGAAACUGUGGAAAAUUCUUCAAGAGAGGGUAAUACCAGAUCACCUGACCUGCCUCUUGAGAAAUCUGUAUGCGGGUCAGGAAGCAACAGUUAGAACUGGACAUGGAACAACAGACUGGUUCCUAAUAGGAAAAGGAGUACGUCGAGGCUGUAUAUUGUCAUCCUGCUUAUUUAACUUAUAUGCAGAGUACAUCAUGAGAAAUGCUGGACUGGAAGAAACACAAGCUGGAAUCAAGAUUGCCAGGAGAAAUAUCAAUAACCUCAGAUAUGCAGAUGACAUCACCCUUAUGGCAGAAAGGGAAGAGGAACUAAAAAGCCUCUUGAUAAAAGUGAAAGAGGAGAGUGAAAAAGUUGGCUUAAAGCUCAACAUUCAGAAAACAAAGAUCAUGGCAUCUGGUCCCAUCACUUCAUGGGAAAUAGAUAAGGAAACAGUAGAAACAGUGUCAGACUUUAUUUUUUUGGGCUCCAAAAUCACUGCAGAUGGUGACUGCAGCCAUGAAAUUAAAAGAUGCUUACUCCUUGGAAGAAAAGUUAUGACCAACCUAGAUAGUAUAUUCAAAAGCAGAGACAUUACUUUGCCGACUAAGGUCCAUCUAGUCAAGGCUAUGGUUUUUCCAGUAGUCAUGUAUGGAUGUGAGAGUUGGGCUGUAAAGAAGGCUGAGUGCCGAAUAAUUGAUGCUUUUGAACUGUGGUAUUGGAGAAGACUCUUGAAAGUCGCUUGGACUGCAAGGAGAUCCAACCCGUCCAUUCUGAAGGAGAUCAGUCCUGAAUGUUCUUUGGAAGGACUGAUGCUAAAGCUGAAGCUCCUGUACUCUGGCCACCUCAUGCGAAGAGUUGACUCAUUGGAAAAGACUCUGAUGCUGGGAGGGAUUGGGGGCAGGAGGAGAAGGGGACGCCGAGGAUGA